rnacentral:rRNA from 1 species
GAGAAUUUAAAUAGCCGCAGUACCCUGACUGUGCAAAGGUAGCAUAAUCAGUUGGCUUAUAAUUGAAGUCUAGUAUGAAUGGGAACACGGGAAUAUUCUGUCUUUAAUAUAUUAAAAGAAAUUACUAAUUAAGUGAAAAUUCUUAAAAGUAAGAAAAUAGACGAGAAGACCCUAGAAAUUUUUUAAUUUGAUUUUGUUGGGGCGACAGGGUAACAAAAAACUUACCUAAGGUAUUAGGAAAUUUUUUAGUGGUGUAAUUAAAUUACUCUAGGGAUAACAGCAUAAUAUUUUAAAGGUUGUGACCUCGAUGUUGGACUAGGAAAUACACUACUUAAAAGGUAGUGUUUAUGGUUCUGUUCGAACUUUUUCUCCUACAU